AGUUUCUUAUAACCGACGUAACUACUCCAUGUGAGCUGCAUAGAGUCCAACGUUUUGCCCUCCUAAGGAGAGAACCUCACAUUGGCAGGGGUGUUGUAAUCUUUCCAGGGAGUACAAUCUCAAUCUCAAUAUCACAAUCUCAUACUCGGCCUUUGGUCCACAAUCAUCAACAUCAAUCCUACGGUGGCACAUAGUUCUGUGGAAAUACC
rnacentral:lncRNA from 1 species